rnacentral:rRNA from 1 species
UGGGGAAUAUUGGACAAUGGGGGUAACCCUGAUCCAGCCAUGCCGCGUGAGUGAUGAAGGCCUUCGGGUUGUAAAGCUCUUUUGGCGGGGACGAUGAUGACGGUACCCGCAGAAUAAGCCCCGGCUAACUUCGUGCCAGCAGCCGCGGUAAGACGAAGGGGGCAAGCGUUGUUCGGAAUUACUGGGCGUAAAGGGCGCGUAGGCGGUUUGCUUAGUCAGGCGUGAAAGCCCUGGGCUUAACCUGGGAUGUGCGCUUGAUACUGGCAGGCUUGAGUGUGGGAGAGGUUGGUGGAAUUCCCAGUGUAGAGGUGAAAUUCGUAGAUAUUGGGAAGAACACCGGUGGCGAAGGCGGCCAACUGGACCACAACUGACGCUGAGGCGCGAAAGCGUGGGGAGCAAACA